rnacentral:rRNA from 1 species
UACGGAGGAUGCAAGCGUUAUCCGGAAUGAUUGGGCGUAAAGCGUCCGCAGGUGGCUGUGUAAGUCUGCUGUCAAAGAAUGAGGCUUAACCUUAUCAAGGCAGUGGAAACUACACAGCUAGAGUACGGUCGGGGUAGAAGGAAUUCCUGGUGUAGCGGUGAAAUGCGUAGAGAUCAGGAAGAACACCGGUGGCGAAAGCGUUCUGCUAGACCUGUACUGACACUGAGGGACGAAAGCUAGGGGAGCGAAUGGG